GACGAACGCUGGCGGCGUGCUUAACACAUGCAAGUCGAACGCUGAAGCUUGGUGCUUGCCCUGGGUGGAUGAGUGGCGAACGGGUGGGUAAUACGUGAGUAACCUGCCCUUGACUCUGGGAUAAGCCUGGGAAACUGGGUCUAAUACUGGAUACGACAUGUCACCGCAUGGUGGUGUGUGGAAAGGGUUUUACUGGUUUUGGAUGGGCUCACGGCCUAUCAGCUUGUUGGUGGGGUAAUGGCUCACCAAGGCGACGACGGGUAGCCGGCCUGAGAGGGUGACCGGCCACACUGGGACUGAGACACGGCCCAGACUCCUACGGGAGGCAGCAGUGGGGAAUAUUGCACAAUGGGCGGAAGCCUGAUGCAGCGACGCCGCGUGAGGGAUGACGGCCUUCGGGUUGUAAACCUCUUUCAGCACGGAAGAAGCGAAAGUGACGGUACGUGCAGAAGAAGCGCCGGCUAACUACGUG
rnacentral:rRNA from 1 species